GUUCGAUUAUGGCUCAGAUUGAACGCUGGCGGGAUAAACACCUGCAUGCAGGUCGAACGCACUGGACUUCGGUCUGGUGGCGAGUGGCGAACAGGUGAGUAAUGUAUCGAGACGUGCCUAGUAGCGGGGGAUAACUACGCGAAAGCGUAGCGCUAAUGCCACCUUACGCCUUCGAAGCGGGGGACCUUCGGGCCUCGCACUAUUAGAGCGGCCGAUAUCGGAUUAGCUGGUUAGUGGAGUAACGGCUCACCAAGGCGACGAUCCGUAGCUGGUUUGAGAGGACGACCGGCCACUGGGACUGGACCUGACGAACUCCUACGGGAGGCAGCAGUGGGAAUUUUUGGACAAUGGAAACCACAGUCCAGCCAUCCCGCGUGUGCGAUGAAGGCCUUCGGGUUGUAAAGCACUUUGGCAGGAAAACGGCCUGGGAUAAUACCCCGUGCAUGACGGUACCUGCAAGAAUAAGCACCGGCUAACUACGUGCCAGCAACCGCGGUAAUACGUAAGUGCAAGCGUUAAUCGGGAGAUUACACCAGGCGUAAAGCGUGCGCAGGCGGUUCCGGAAAGAAGAUGUGAAAUCCCAGAGCUUAACUUUGGAACUGCAUUUUUAACUACCGAGCUAGAAGUGUGUCAGAGGGAGGUGGAAUUCCGCGUGUAGCAGUGAGAUGCGUAGAUAUGCGGAGGAACACCGAUAGCGAAGGCAGCCUCCUGGGAUAACACUGACGCUCAUGCACAGCGUGGGAGCAAACAGGAUUAGAUACCCUGGUAGUCCACGCCCUAAACGAUGUCAACUAGCUGUUGGGGCGGGCCUUGGUAGCGCAGCUAACGCGUGAGAUUGACCGCCUGGGAGGCCGGUCGCAAGAUUAAAACUCAAAGGAAUUGACGGGGACGCACAAGCGGUGGAUGAUGUGGAUUAAUUCGAUGCAACGCGAAAAACCUUACCUACCCUUGACAUGUCUGGAAUCCCGAAGAGAUUUAGGGUGCUGUAAAGAGAACCGGAACACAGGUGCUGCAUGGCUGUCGUCAGCUCGUGUGUCGUUGAGAUGUUGGGUUAGUCCGCAACAGGCGCAGCCCUUGUCGUGGUUGCUACGAAGGGCACUCUAAUGAGACUGCCGGUGACAAACCGGAGGAAGGUGGGGAUGACGUCAAGUCCUCAUGGCCCACUGCUGGGUGGGCUUCACGUCGCCCAAUGGUCGGGACAGGGGUCGCCAACCCGCGAGGGGAGCCAAUCCCAGAAACCCGAUCGUAGUCCGGAUCGCAGUCUGCAACUCGACUGCGUGAAGUCGGAAUCAUGGUAAUCGCGGAUCAGCAUGUCGCGGUGAAUACGUUCCCGGGUGCAUACACCGCCCAGUAUUCAUGGAGUGGGUUUUACCAAAGUAGUUAGCCUAACCGUAAAGGAGGGCGAUUACCACAGUAGGAUUCAUGACUGGGGUGAAGUCGUAACAAAGGUAGG
rnacentral:rRNA from 1 species